GGUCGAGUGACCCCGCGCCGAAAAUGUACCGGGGCUAAACAUAUUACCGAAACUGUGGAUGAACCUCUUUAGAGGUUCGUGGUAGGAGAGCGUUCUAAGGGCGGUGAAGUCAGACCGGAAGGACUGGGGGAGCGCUUAGAAGUGAGAAUGCCGGUAUGAGUAGCGAAAGAAGGGUGAGAAUCCCUUCCACCGAAUAUCUAAGGUUUCCUGAGGAAGGCUCGUCCGCUCAGGGUUAGUCGGGACCUAAGCCGAGGC
rnacentral:rRNA from 1 species